GUGGGGAAUAUUGGACAAUGGGCGAAAGCCUGAUCCAGCCAUGCCGCGUGUGUGAAGAAGGUCUUCGGAUUGUAAAGCACUUUAAGUUGGGAGGAAGGGUAGUAACCUAAUACGUUGCUACUUUGACGUUACCGACAGAAUAAGCACCGGCUAACUUCGUGCCAGCAGCCGCGGUAAUACGAAGGGUGCAAGCGUUAAUCGGAAUUACUGGGCGUAAAGCGCGCGUAGGUGGUUCAGUAAGUUGGAAGUGAAAUCCCCGAGCUCAACCUGGGAACUGCUUUAAAAACUGCUGAGCUAGAGUACGGUAGAGGGUGGUGGAAUUUCCUGUGUAGCGGUGAAAUGCGUAGAUAUAGGAAGGAACACCAGUGGCGAAGGCGACUACCUGGACUGAUACUGACACUGAGGUGCGAAAGCGUGGGGAGCAAACAGGAUUAGAUACCCGGGUAGUCC
rnacentral:rRNA from 1 species